rnacentral:rRNA from 1 species
GGCUCAGGAUGAACGCUAGCUACAGGCUUAACACAUGCAAGUCGAGGGCAGCAGGGAUUUAGCUUGCUAAUUCGCUGGCGACCGGCGCACGGGUGCGUAACGCGUAUCCAACUUUCCCGUUACUCUCGGAUAGCCUUCCGAAAGGGAGAUUAAUACGAGAUGGUGUUCUAAUUCCGCAUGUUAUUAGAACUAAAGAUUCAUCGGUAACGGAUAGGGAUGCGUGACAUUAGAUAGUUGGCGGGGUAACGGCCCACCAAGUCCACGAUGUCUAGGGGUUCUGAGAGGAAGGUCCCCCACACUGGAACUGAGACACGGUCCAGACUCCUACGGGAGGCAGCAGUGAGGAAUAUUGGUCAAUGGCCGCGAGGCUGAACCAGCCAAGUAGCGUGAAGGAUGAAGGUUCUAUGGAUUGUAAACUUCUUUUAUACGGGAAUAACAUCACCUACGUGUAGGUGCCUGCAUGUACCGUAUGAAUAAGCAUCGGCUAACUCCGUG